UACGUAGGGCGCAAGCGUUGUCCGGAAUUAUUGGGCGUAAAGAGCUCGUAGGCGGCUUGUCACGUCGGGUGUGAAAGCCCGGGGCUUAACCCCGGGUCUGCAUUCGAUACGGGCUAGCUAGAGUGUGGUAGGGGAGAUCGGAAUUCCUGGUGUAGCGGUGAAAUGCGCAGAUAUCAGGAGGAACACCGGUGGCGAAGGCGGAUCCUGCGUGGGACGGUACUGA
rnacentral:rRNA from 1 species